GACGAACGCUGGCGGCGUGCCUAACACAUGCAAGUCGAACGGAACUGUUUUGAAAGAUUUCUUCGGAAUGAAUUUGAUUUAGUUUAGUGGCGGACGGGUGAGUAACGCGUGAGUAACCUGCCUUCAAGAGGGGAAUAACAUUCUGAAAAGAAUGCUAAUACCGCAUGACAUAUCGGAACCACAUGGUUUUGAUAUCAAAGAUUUUAUCGCUUGAAGAUGGACUCGCGUCCGAUUAGUUAGUUGGUGAGGUAACGGCUCACCAAGACCGCGAUCGGUAGCCGGACUGGGAGGUUGAACGGCCACAUUGGGACUGAGACACGGCCCAGACUCCUACGGGAGGCAGCAGUGGGGGAUAAUGCGCAAUGGGGGCAACCCUGACGCAGCAACGCCGCGUGAAGGAUGAAGGUUUUCGGAUUGUAAACUUCUUUUAUUAAGGACGAAAAAUGACGGUACUUAAUGAAUAAGCUCCGGCUAACUACGUG
rnacentral:rRNA from 1 species